rnacentral:rRNA from 1 species
GCGUGAGGAACCUGCCUCAAAGAGGGGGACAACAGUUGGAAACGACUGCUAAUACCGCAUAAGCCCACGACCCGGCAUCGGGUAGAGGGAAAAGGAGCAAUCCGCUUUGAGAUGGCCUCGCGUCCGAUUAGCUAGUUGGUGAGGUAAUGGCCCACCAAGGCGACGAUCGGUAGCCGGACUGAGAGGUUGAACGGCCACAUUGGGACUGAGACACGGCCCAGACUCCUACGGGAGGCAGCAGUGGGGAAUAUUGCACAAUGGGGGAAACCCUGAUGCAGCGACGCCGCGUGGAGGAAGAAGGUCUUCGGAUUGUAAACUCCUGUUGUUGAGGAAGAUAAUGACGGUACUCAACAAGGAAGUGACGGCUAACUACGUGCCAGCAGCCGCGGUAAAACGUAGGUCACAAGCGUUGUCCGGAAUUACUGGGUGUAAAGGGAGCGCAGGCGGGAAGACAAGUUGGAAGUGAAAUCCAUGGGCUCAACCCAUGAACUGCUUUCAAAACUGUUUUUCUUGAGUAGUGCAGAGGUAGGCGGAAUUCCCGGUGUAGCGGUGGAAUGCGUAGAUAUCGGGAGGAACACCAGUGGCGAAGGCGGCCUACUGGGCACCAACUGACGCUGAGGCUCGAAAGUGUGGGUAGCAAACAGGAUUAGAUACCCUGGUAGUCCACACUGUAAACGAUGAUUACUAGGUGUUGGAGGAUUGACCCCUUCAGUGCCGCAGUUAACACAAUAAGUAAUCCACCUGGGGAGUA